rnacentral:rRNA from 1 species
AUUGAACGCUGUCGUCAGGCCUCACACCUGCAAGUCGAACGAGUGGCGGACGGGUGAGUAAUGUCUGGGAAACUGCCCGAUGGAGGGGGAUAACUACUGGAAACGGUAGCUAAUCCCGCAUACCAUCGGAUGUGCCCAGCUGGGAUUAGCUAGUAGGUGGGGUAACGGUUCACCUAGGCGACGAUCCCUAGCUGGUCUGAGAGGAUGACCAGCACCACGGGAACUGGUACACGGUCCAGAUGCCUACGGGAGGCAGCAGUGGGGAAUAGUGCACAAUGGGCGCAAGCCUGAGGCAGCCAUGCCGCGUGUAUGAAGAAGGCCUGCGGGUUGGAAAGUACUUUCAGCGAGGAGGCGUUACUCGCAGAAGAAGCACCGGCUAACUCCGUGCCAGCAGCCGCGGGAAUAC